CCCUUAGAUGUUCUGGGCCGCACGCGCGCUACACUGAUGCAUUCAACGAGUCUAAAACCUGCUCUGAUAGGGGUGGGUAAUCUUUUGAAUGUGCAUCGUGAUUGGGAUAGAUGAUUGCAAUUUUUCAUCUUCAACGAGGAAUGCCUAGUAAACGCAAGUCAUCAGCUUGCAUUGAUUACGUCCCUGCCCUUUGUACACACCGCCCGUCGCUCCUACCGAUUGAAUAAUCCGAUGAAUAUCAUGGAUUGAGGAUGCAAGUAGGUUCGCCUAUCUUCAUCUUCGAGAAGUGAAGUAAAUCUUAUCAUUUAGAGGAAGGAGAAGUCGUAACA
rnacentral:rRNA from 1 species